GGCUGAGUCGGGAUCGGGGACGUCGCCCGAGAGCGGGGACGAGGAGGUGUCGGGCGCGGGUUCGAGCCCGGUGUCGGGCGGCGUGAACUUGUUCGCCAACGACGGCAGCUUCCUGGAGCUGUUCAAGCGGAAGAUGGAGGAGGAGCAGCGGCAGCGGCAGGAGGAGCCGCCCCCGGGUCCGCAGCGACCCCGGGGAUCCGAAGAGGAAGGGCGGUCCGGGCUCCACACUUAGCUUCGUGGGCAAACGCAGAGGCGGGAACAAACUAGCCCUCAAGACGGGAAUAGUAGCCAAGAAGCAGAAGACGGAGGAUGAGGUAUUAACAAGUAAAGGUGACGCGUGGGCCAAGUACAUGGCAGAAGUGAAAAAGUACAAAGCUCACCAGUGCGGUGACGAUGAUAAAACUCGGCCCCUGGUGAAAUGACGCCCCUCCCCCACCUGCCCAUGGCCUGGGACUCUCUGCGAUGUACAUAACUAUUUAAUGCAGCGGCAGCGGCGACAGCCUUCCCUGAGAGGACUUAAAAGCAGAAGGAAACCGAGAUGCUUCCCGCAGCCGUGGACGAUUCUCCAGGACUCUUUUUUUACCUUGAGCACUUGCCUCGUGAGACUUCAUAGAACAGUGGUUUACUGUCCCCCCCUUCUCACCUCCUCAUUCUCUCUGGCUCUUUCUGUCUUCCUCUUCUCACCCUCCUCCCUCCCCUUAGCCAUCACUUCUGGGAAGUAAAGAACUUGACUU
rnacentral:lncRNA from 1 species